GUGGUCGUAGCUCAGCCUGGUUAGAGCCCCAGACUGUGGAUCUGGCUGUCGCGGGUUCAAAUCCCGUCGACCACCCCA
rnacentral:tRNA from 1 species